rnacentral:rRNA from 1 species
UGCUAAUACAUGCAAGUCGAGCGAACAGAUGAGAAGCUUGCUUCUCUGAUGUUAGCGGCGGACGGGUUGAGUAACACGUGGGUAACCUACCUAUAAGACUGGGAUAACUCCGGGAAACCGGGGCUAAUACCGGAUAAUAUUUUGAACCGCAUGGUUCAAUAGUGAAAGACGGUUUCGGCUGUCACUUAUAGAUGGACCCGCGCCGUAUUAGCUAGUUGGUAAGGUAACGGCUUACCAAGGCGACGAUACGUAGCCGACCUGAGAGGGUGAUCGGCCACACUGGAACUGAGACACGGUCCAGACUCCUACGGGAGGCAGCAGUAGGGAAUCUUCCGCAAUGGGCGAAAGCCUGACGGAGCAACGCCGCGUGAGUGAUGAAGGUCUUCGGAUCGUAAAACUCUGUUGUUAGGGAAGAACAAAUUUGUUAGUAACUGAACAAGUCUUGACGGUACCUAACCAGAAAGCCACGGCUAACUACGUGCCAGCAGCCGCGGUAAUACGUAGGUGGCAAGCGUUAUCCGGAAUUAUUGGGCGUAAAGCGCGCGUAGGCGGUUUCUUAAGUCUGAUGUGAAAGCCCACGGCUCAACCGUGGAGGGUCAUUGGAAACUGGGAAACUUGAGUGCAGAAGAGGAGAGUGGAAUUCCAUGUGUAGCGGUGAAAUGCGCAGAGAUAUGGAGGAACACCAGUGGCGAAGGCGGCUCUCUGGUCUGUAACUGACGCUGAUGUGCGAAAGCGUGGGGAUCAAACAGGAUUAGAUACCCUGGUAGUCCACGCCGUAAACGAUGAGUGCUAAGUGUUAGGGGGUUUCCGCCCCUUAGUGCUGCAGCUAACGCAUUAAGCACUCCGCCUGGGGAGUACGACCGCAAGGUUGAAACUCAAAGGAAUUGACGGGGACCCGCACAAGCGGUGGAGCAUGUGGUUUAAUUCGAAGCAACGCGAAGAACCUUACCAAAUCUUGACAUCCUUUGACCGCUCUAGAGAUAGAGUCUUCCCCUUCGGGGGACAAAGUGACAGGUGGUGCAUGGUUGUCGUCAGCUCGUGUCGUGAGAUGUUGGGUUAAGUCCCGCAACGAGCGCAACCCUUAAGCUUAGUUGCCAUCAUUAAGUUGGGCACUCUAGGUUGACUGCCGGUGACAAACCGGAGGAAGGUGGGGAUGACGUCAAAUCAUCAUGCCCCUUAUGAUUUGGGCUACACACGUGCUACAAUGGAUAAUACAAAGGGCAGCGAAUCCGCGAGGCCAAGCAAAUCCCAUAAAAUUAUUCUCAGUUCGGAUUGUAGUCUGCAACUCGACUACAUGAAGCUGGAAUCGCUAGUAAUCGUAGAUCAGCAUGCUACGGUGAAUACGUUCCCGGGUCUUGUACACACCGCCCGUCACACCACGAGAGUUUGUAACACCCGAAGCCGGUGGAGUAACCUUUUAGGAGCUAGCCGUCGAAGGUGGACAAAAGGGG